UUACAAUAGAAUGAACAGAAUGGUGUCUAGAAGAAAGACUAGAAGUAAUUGAUGACUGAGAGUGAAUAGGAUAAAGUCCAGCCUUGUCCAAUUUUCCUUGAAGCAAGAUUUGAUCAUUGUCCUGAGAUUUCAUGACAAAGUGAGAUGGAUGAAAUUGAAUGUAUGCAUUAUUAUCAGAUGCAAAUUUUGAAACACUGGUCAGAUUUUUGUUGAUGCUAGGAACAUGCAAAACAUUAUUUAAAUGCAAUGUAUAAUGAGGAUGAGAAGGUGAAGGAAAAUCAUAAGAGGAAAUUCCAGUGACACGCAAACCUUGACCAUUGCCAAGGAAUAUGUGCUCAAGGUGAGAAGGAGGAGGAGCAGAAUCAUCAAAUCAAUAAUGAAAACACAAUUAUGAUUUCUAUCAGUUCUCUAUCUCUCUCUAAAUGUAACACAAUAACAAGAGGUGAACAAAAAAAUCCAAUAAAGAUAUUGAUAAAUGCAAGAUUAAUAUAUUCACACAAUUUAUGUAGCCAAGACUCUGAUCUUAAUUACCAAACUAAUUUGGUCCAGGCAAUUUCAAGAGCAUGAGUUGUAUGCAUGUUUAUACUAGAUCAGUAAUAAAAGUGAUGGUUCAAGUAUAUCAUACCAUUUUCCAUUAAACAGAAUGCACAGUUUCACAUUCAUGUAUAGGGUGACAUCAAUAUACACAUAAAAACUAUUUUAUUUGCAUUCAUAAAAAUAGACGUAUGACUCUAGUUUGAGAGGCAUUUUCACAAACAAUUCCAAACCAAACAUUUCCAACAAAAAUUAUAAUAUCAAAUGUUAAACAAAGACACAAGAACAGAACAAUGUGAAAAUCAUAGAUGUGACUAUCAUUUAUCCUUUGAAUCUGGAGCAAAAAUUAGAGAUUUAGUGGUUGUAUUAUCAUUUAAUAAAUGAUAAUACAACCACAAAAUCCCUAAUUUGCAACAAGGAUUCGGUAUCACCACCAAUCAAAGAUAAAUGUGAUUUUUUCUCAAAACUCAUACAAUACAAAUUGCUGAAUCGCACACAACAGAAGAUAACGUGAUUUUUCUCAAUGUGAUUCGAUGUGUAAGGGAAUACGAAAGAGAAGAAGAAUUUUAACAAUUCAGGAAAGAGGAACUUUUAAUGAUUCACCAGGCAGUAAAAAAUAAAAGAAGAUUCAGAUUAACAAGAAAUCAAUUCGUAAAGCUUACUCACAUUCGAAGAGCAAGAGAGAAAAAGCAAAUCAGGGGAAAAGUUUGAGAGAGAGACUAAAAACACUAACCUGUUCUUGAUGGAAGAGAAAUCGAUUUGGCGAUAUGGUAAAUUGAAGCUGCUUGAAAGGGAAUAGGUUUGAACCUCCUUAAAAUCUCGAGAGUGAAAAGAACAAUUUGCAGAUCAUAGCCAU
rnacentral:lncRNA from 1 species